UUUUUCAUUAAAAUUUUGAUCAAAUUCAACCAUUGACUUUUUCCUAAUUUGUGUUGCUCAACUCAGCACAAAUGAGCUUAUGCCAAUUGAAUCUCCGCUUGCGUAGUACGUCAAGGCCGCUACGUCUCCAGUUUAACAAAACAAAUGGGAAAAAAGUUGGUGGUUGUGUUCGAUAAAGGUUUUUAUUAAAAGUAUGAAUUUAAGCACCCCACCCACAGAAGGACCACAGACAAACAUAGACCUGUACAGAGAGAAAGAAAGAAAAAGCUCUGGUGCUUUACAACAGCGGGAUAAAACUGACGGGUUAGACAGGGCUUCCUCUCUGAGCAGAUUGGAGUGCUGCCUGGAUAUGGGCUUCCAGAAGCCGGGCUGUUCAGCAGUGCGUGCGGCGGUGGGGUGGGUGCAGCCGAGCCUGUCACAACCUGACGGGCCCAUCCAGAGGUGCAGCCAUGGUUAAGAUGCAGUUGGUGGUUCAGACAGACUCACCUUGGGCCACUUGGGGUUGAGUAGACGGGCCUUGACAGCGUCGUCCAGGGCAGCCUGGUAGCAUCCCAGUUUGUGAAAGGCUGCUGAGCGGUUGCUGUAGAGGAU